UACGUAGGAGGCAAGCGUUGUCCGGAAUCACUGGGCGUAAAGCGCGUGUAGGUGGAAGAGGAAGUCUGCUGUGAAAGCGCCUGGCUUAACCGGGCGAGGUCGGUGGAAACUCCUCAUCUAGAGGUCGGUAGAGGGGGUGGAAUUCCGGGUGUAGUGGUGAAAUGCGUAGAGAUCCGGAGGAACACCUGUGGCGAAGGCGGCCCCCUGGGCCGCACCUGACGCUGAGACGCGAAAGCGCGGGGAGCGAACGGG
rnacentral:rRNA from 1 species